rnacentral:rRNA from 1 species
UACGGAGGGGGCUAGCGUUGUUCGGAAUUACUGGGCGUAAAGCGCACGUAGGCGGCUUUGUAAGUUAGAGGUGAAAGCCUGGAGCUCAACUCCAGAAUUGCCUUUAAGACUGCAUCGCUUGAAUCGCGGAGAGGUGAGUGGAAUUCCGAGUGUAGAGGUGAAAUUCGUAGAUAUUCGGAAGAACACCAGUGGCGAAGGCGGCUCACUGGACGCGUAUUGACGCUGAGGUGGCGAAAGCGUGGGGAGCAAACAGG